rnacentral:lncRNA from 1 species
CUUAAGAAAGAGGAACCAAGCCAGCUAUUGGUCAAUAUGGAGAUUUAUUCUAAGCCAGCAAUCCAGUCUAAGCGAGUGAGUCAUAUAAGUCUUACCAAUCGAAUCAAAGUAAUUGAGCCAAUCGGAGACGGCACUUUGGAGAUAAAGCCUUUCGAUCCCCUUCCUCAAUCUCUCGUUCAAUCGGAGCUUCUCGUGGCAACCUCUCUUCCUGCCUUUAGAAUGCAUAGAAAGAGCAAGCUCAUAUUCGAAACCCCCUAAGGGGGACUUGGAAGAGGGAAGCCCUUAGACCAUUCCUUUGGAAUCGAGGGCAGGGGAAGAAGAAUGCCUUAUUAAAGUCAGAGUUAGAGAAGAAAGGCAAUGAAUGUUAGUCCUACUACUCAAGAGGAACAACAAUAGGAAAGGAGCAGCCUGCCUUAUGAGAUUUCAGGAGGACUACUAGAGAAUCUGAACCUUAGAGCUACCUUCUUACACUUCCAGUUAGGCUUUGGCAAGGAAGUGGAAAUACAUUCAAUUAGCUAGGUGGGAACGUCCAGGGGGACCUGCCGGGCUAAGAGCAGAGAGGAACUAACCUUCCGCUUUCACUGGCCUUAUUCCACUCACAGUAAGUUAAGGGUUCGGAUGGAAAACCUAGCUUGUGCUAACCCUACAGGCAAGUAGCAAGAAAGAGCACAGAGGAACGAUAUCCAUAUCCAUUUCUUUCAUUCCUCGCUAUCAAUCAAUAGAAGAAAGAAUGGAAGGCAGGACCAGGACUGUCAGAGGGAUGAGACCUAUCUAUGACAAUCAUCACUAGAUGAGGGAGGGAAUCCAAAAGGCUGCCUACUAUCCGGACUGGACUCACUCAGGACUUCCAUCUAGAGAUAUAGAAUUGAAAGAAGGAAAAAGUCCUUCGGACCCUGCCUUUAUAGUAAGUAGCUACAUUCCUUGCCUCUCGGAUAGGCCUUUGAGGUUCCUCUAGUUAUCUUCUUGAAUCACUCUAAGCAUAAGACCUUGAAUUGCAUCUUUGUCUUCUCUCUAUGGAUAGAGCAAUAAAUAAGGAAUGCAUUAUAAGAAAGAGGAUGUAGCCCUUUCCUUCCUUACUGUACUUGUAGUUGAGUAAGGACUUUA